rnacentral:rRNA from 1 species
UACGGGGGGGGCAAGCGUUGUUCGGAAUUACUGGGCGUAAAGGGCUCGUAGGUGGCCAACUAAGUCAGACGUGAAAUCCCUCGGCUUAACCGGGGAACUGCGUCUGAUACUGGAUGGCUUGAGUUUGGGAGAGGGACGCGGAAUUCCAGGUGUAGCGGUGAAAUGCGUAGAUAUCUGGAGGAACACCGGUGGCGAAGGCGGCAUUCUGGACUGCAACUGACACUGAAAGACGAAAGCCAGGGGAGCAAACGGG